rnacentral:rRNA from 1 species
AACGAACGCUGGCGGCAGGCUUAACACAUGCAAGUCGAGCGCAUCCUUCGGGGUGAGCGGCAGACGGGUGAGUAACGCGUGGGAAUCUACCUUUUGCUACGGAAUAGCUCCGGGAAACUGGAAUUAAUACCGUAUGUGCCCUUAGGGGGAAAGAUUUAUCGGCAAGAGAUGAGCCCGCGUUGGAUUAGCUAGUUGGUGGGGUAAAGGCCUACCAAGGCGACGAUCCAUAGCUGGUCUGAGAGGAUGAUCAGCCACAUUGGGACUGAGACACGGCCCAAACUCCGACGGGAGGCAGCAGUGGGGAAUAUUGGACAAUGGGCGCAAGCCUGAUCCAGCCAUGCCGCGUGAGUGAUGAAGGCCUUAGGGUUGUAAAGCUCUUUCACCGGAGAAGAUAAUGACGGUAUCCGGAGAAGAAGCCCCGGCUAACUUCGUG